GAAAAAAGCCGUUAUGUUCCCGAUCACUACCUCCCUAACAUUAGCAAACGCUUCCGGUGUUAAAAUAGCUCUAUGUGGAGACAAAACAACAUUGUCAAGCGUAAAUAACUCUUUUGGUACACCGGGUUCAUUCUCAAACACAUCAAGACCUGCUCCCCCAAGCUCACCUUCAACCAAGAACUUCACUAGUUCCUUUUCAUCCACAAGGGCCCCACGCCCAAUAUUGACGAUAACGCCUUUCUUCCCGAGGGUAGUCAAGACAUCACGGUUAAUGAUGUGGCGAGUUUUGUCAGACAACGCACAACAAACAAUUAGAGAAUCACUGUUCGCUGCAAGAUCAAGGACGGUGGGGUAGAAUGCAUAUGGAACUUGGGGCUUCUUGUUUCUUGAGUUGUAGGCAAUGGUGCAGCCAAAGGGCUCGAGCCGUUUAGCAACGAGGGUGCCAAUAUUUCCAAAAGCCGGCCCGAACAAACCUGUCGGCAGCAGUAAGACGUCGGAGAACGUCCAUUAAAAGCCCAAUAGCAUAAUCGGCUCCGUCUUCAGAAAAGGCUGAACCGGCGCUGGUUACACGAAUAUUACGGCGCCGGCACUCUGCCAAGUCAAUAUGGUCAACACCGGCGGAUGUUCCAACAACCAACUCAACGGAAGGAUAUUGGUCCAAGUGCUGAGACCUGAGGGUGCUAGGACCGAUGACGAUGAGGACCCGAGCGGUUUGUCGGUGGAGCGGGUACAAAGGGUCCGAAGACUCGAUUGAGUUGUAGAUGUGUUCAGUCGCGGGGAAAGAGUAUUUGAAUUGAGGGUCGCGAUGGAUGAUUGCAGCAGGGACGACGGUUGAGUCGGCCAUCGACGGUUUUCACUUGUCCCAAAGUUUAAGGAAGCCCACGGAUGGAUGGAUGGAU
rnacentral:lncRNA from 1 species